rnacentral:rRNA from 1 species
UACGGAGGGUGCGAGCGUUGUUCGGAUUCAUUGGGCGUAAAGGGUGCGUAGGUGGCGCUGUAAGUCGGGUGUGAAAUCCUGAGGCUUAACCUCGGAACUGCAUUCGAUACUGCGGCGCUUGAGGACUGGAGAGGAGACUGGAAUUCAUGGUGUAGCAGUGAAAUGCGUAGAGAUCAUGAGGAAGACCAGUGGCGAAGGCGGGUCUCUGGACAGUUCCUGACACUGAGGCACGAAGGCCAGGGGAGCAAACGGG